CAUACAUAUGUAUUACGCAAAUAUUUCAUCAAGGACAAAAUUGCAAUUUGAAAUAAAAAUUCAUAUAUGGUUCCUCAUGAUAUUAGACAAAUAAAUCGCGAAAUUAGAAUAUUAAUUGCAGCAGUUCAAAUUUUAGAUUUAUUCUUUAGUUUCCACAAACAUGAAGUUUGCGCGAGUAUUAACCAUUCAUAUUCUCGGCCUGGUCCUACUGGGUGUUUGGAUUGAUGAUGUGACAGCAAUGACAAAAUCAUACAGAUCUUUUGAGGAGUGUUCGGGACACUGCGAGGAAUUUUGUCUGGUUGAAGGAAACUGUAGGGAUUCUUUUUGCAUGGGCAAUUCAGGAAAAUGCAAAUGUUGUGCCGGAAAUAUGUAUAGAAGAAGAAGAUCAUUACCUAAGUAUCUACACUCUUCAACUAAAUGAACACACUAUUUGCUUUUUUUAAGUAGGCACAUAGGCGAGUAAAAGAAGUAGGUACCAUAUUAUGUGAUUUGUUGAAAAAUCAAAAUGUCCUUCAUUUUAUAACACUUUUUUCAUAUUAUAAAUAAAUAUCAAGUGAUAUUUUGUUAAUUA